rnacentral:rRNA from 1 species
ACAAGCGUGGAGCAUGUGGUUUAAUUCGAAGCAACGCGAAGAACCUUACCAGGUCUUGACAUCCCGAUGCUAUUUCUAGAGAUAGAAAGUUACUUCGGUACAUCGGUGACAGGUGGUGCAUGGUUGUCGUCAGCUCGUGUCGUGAGAUGUUGGGUUAAGUCCCGCAACGAGCGCAACCCCUAUUGUUAGUUGCCAUCAUUCAGUUGGGCACUCUAGCGAGACUGCCGGUAAUAAACCGGAGGAAGUGGGAUGACGUCAAAUCAUCAUGCCCCUUAUGACCUGGGCUACACACGUGCUACAAUGGUUGGUACAACGAGUUGCGAGUCGGUGACGGCGAGCUAAUCUCUUAAAGCCAAUCUCAGUUCGGAUUGUAGGCUGCAACUCGCCUACAUGAAGUCGGAAUCGCUAGUAAUCGCGGAUCAGCACGCCGCGGUCGAAUACGUUCCCGGGCCUU